GAUGAACGCUGACAGAAUGCUUAACACAUGCAAGUCAACUUGAAUUUGGGUUUUUUAACUUAGAUUUGGGUGGCGGACGGGUGAGUAACGCGUAAAGAACUUGCCUCACAGCUAGGGACAACAUUUGGAAACGAAUGCUAAUACCUGAUAUUAUGAUUAUAAGGCAUCUUAGAAUUAUGAAAGCUAUAUGCGCUGUGAGAGAGCUUUGCGUCCCAUUAGCUAGUUGGAGAGGUAACGGCUCACCAAGGCGAUGAUGGGUAGCCGGCCUGAGAGGGUGAACGGCCACAAGGGGACUGAGACACGGCCCUUACUCCUACGGGAGGCAGCAGUGGGGAAUAUUGGACAAUGGACCAAGAGUCUGAUCCAGCAAUUCUGUGUGCACGAUGACGUUUUUCGGAAUGUAAAGUGCUUUCAGUUGGGAUGAAAAAAAUGACGGUACCAACAGAAGAAGUGACGGCUAAAUACGUG
rnacentral:rRNA from 1 species